rnacentral:rRNA from 1 species
GUGGGGAAUAUUGGACAAUGGGCGAAAGCCUGAUCCAGCCAUGCCGCGUGUGUGAAGAAGGUCUUCGGAUUGUAAAGCACUUUAAGUUGGGAGGAAGGGCAGUAAGCUAAUACCUUGCUGUUUUGACGUUACCGACAGAAUAAGCACCGGCUAACUCUGUGCCAGCAGCCGCGGUAAUACAGAGGGUGCAAGCGUUAAUCGGAAUUACUGGGCGUAAAGCGCGCGUAGGUGGUUCGUUAAGUUGGAUGUGAAAGCCCCGGGCUCAACCUGGGAACUGCAUCCAAAACUGGCGAGCUAGAGUACGGUAGAGGGUGGUGGAAUUUCCUGUGUAGCGGUGAAAUGCGUAGAUAUAGGAAGGAACACCAGUGGCGAAGGCGACCACCUGGACUGAUACUGACACUGAGGCGCGAAAGCGUGGGGAGCAAACAGGAUUAGAAACCCCAGUAGUCC